UGCCAGCCGCCGCGGUAACACGGAGAGUGCAAGCGUUGUUCGGAAUUAUUGGGCUUAAAGGGCGUGUAGGCGGAGUGUCAGGUGUUGUGUGAAAGCCCCGGGCUCAACCCGGGAAUGGCAUGGCAAACCGGCACUCUUGAGGCAGGUAGAGGUGACUGGAACGACUGGUGGAGCGGUGAAAUGCGUAGAUAUCAGUUGGAACGCCAGAGGCGAAAGCGAGUCGCUGGACCUGUCCUGACGCUGAGACGCGAAAGCGUGGGGAGCGAAGAGGAUUAGAUA
rnacentral:rRNA from 1 species